rnacentral:rRNA from 1 species
UACGUAGGGUGCGAGCGUUAAUCGGAAUUACUGGGCGUAAAGCGUGCGCAGGCGGUUCUCCAAGUCCGUUGUGAAAGCCCCGGGCUCAACCUGGGAAUGGCAGUGGAAACUAGGGGACUUGAAUCUGGCAGAGGGGGGUGGAAUUCCACGUGUAGCAGUGAAAUGCGUAGAUAUCUGGAGGAACACCGGUGGCGAAGGCGGCAUCCUGGACCGACACUGACGCUGAGGAGCGAAAGCCAGGGGAGCAAACGGG